rnacentral:lncRNA from 1 species
AGAGACAGCUAUAUCAGGGUCCCUUCAGCAAAAUCUUGCUGGCAUAUGCUAUAAUGUCUGCGUUUGGUGGCUGAUUUUGGGAUGGAUCCCCAGGUGGGAGUCUCUGGAUGGCCCAUCCUUUUGUCUCAGCUCCAAACUUUGUCUCUGAAAAAAAUAUGGAACGCUUCACGAAUUUGCGUGUCAUCCUUGCGCAGGGGUCAUGCUAAUCUUCUCUUUUGGUACAUGUGCUGCUGAAGCGAGCACAAACCCAAACUCUUAUUCCAAGUUAAAGCCUUAGUUUUCCUGUAUCAAUGAUGUGCUACAGAAUUGUUCCCUGCCUGCUUUCAAUUCCCAAAUCUUUCCCAAGUGAGGGAGCCCUGUAGGAGAAGCAGGCAGGUUUGAGCACAACCUGCUGACUCCUGUCACAGUUGCAUUCUCCUUCUAAGAAACCUUAGAAAUCUAGUCUGGUUUACCCUACGCAUUCAGGGCAGCAGCAUACGCUGGGCUGCAGCAUAGUGGACAGCAGGGGUCAGGAGGCAACCUCAGCCGAGGCUCGUUGUGACUUGUGAAAUAAGCCCCCUGACCCUUCCCCUCUCUCAUCAGCAACACCAGGACCACUCUCCCAAAGGAGUUUACAUUUUUGGUUUAUUCAUGGAGGGGGCGCGAUGGGACCCUGAACAGGAAGUGCUGGAAGACUCGCUGCCCAGUCAGCUAUGCUGUGAAUUUCCGGACAUGCUCUUUUUGCCAACAAAGAUUACUGAACCCCCGGCCUCCCAGGAUUCUGACCAGACAGCCUCAGAACUGCACACUUUUGAGUGCCCAGUCUACUACACGCCCGAGAGGUCAAGAAACAUGAUUGGCUUACCAACAACCGUGCUGACCUCAGUGCACUUACCCACGAAGAAACCUCCUAGCCACUGGAUCACCAUGCAGGUUGCACUGCUGUGUGAGAAGAAUGAGUGAAUAAACACCCAGAGCAAACCCAUCUAAGCCUGGGCUCUUCCUCCACGUCCAUGCAUGAGGACCGUCACAUGCAGGGAGCAUCCCUGGAACAGCAUGUGCCUAGCCAAACCUGGCGGGAGGUGUGGGAGACUUCAACAGGCAAGCAGUGGCUGUGCAGCCUGUCAUGGAACACGGAAGCUUCUACUAUGCAUAUACAUUUGCUUCAAAAUGUUACAGAGCCUAUAACAGUUUUUUAAGCACUUGGUGUUCUUAAACAGCAAAUAGUAAACACGACCAGUUUCAGGUCUCCUCUCCAGCCCAGGAUGGCCUCAAACACAUGGAGAUCCUCCUGACCCACCCUCUUGGCCUGCUGCGAUUACAGGGGUGAGCCACCACUGAGUCAGGCCCUAGAGUCUUUGCUUUGCUAAGUCAGUCCCUGGGUUCCUACAGUUCCGAAAGACUCAAAAAAGGAAAAAAGGGGGGGGGGGAGUGGUAUGGCAAAACAGAGAGUUGGCCAUCUUGCUGUCGGUAAUCCCAAAGCUGUGGCAAAGAAAUGAGGCUCUAACAGCAACUCUUUAUUUUCAACUUUUUGUUUCCAACCAAAAUUUUAUUACAAAGCUUGCCAAACAUCAAAUUAAAAACAACUUGCACCUAAUAUCCAGAUACUGUGACACUGCCCGCCCUUUCAGAACCAGGCAAAGAACCCAAAGUUGUUUCCUUGUAAGCUUAUUAAAACACACCAUGUUGAUUCCAGUAGAAAGCAUGAUAGAAAACCACCUGCUGAACACCUUAGGACUAGUGAAACAGGAAAGGAUGACAGAGUGCAGAGAGUAGCACGGCAAGAUCAGACGGGCACAGCCACUUAACACUAAGCUACAGAGCAGGAGGAUCUGAACAUUUGCAUCUAGCUCACAUGUGAUAUGUGUAAUAGAAACCCAAAUGUACACACUAUAUGUACUGCAUCCUUAUGUUUACUCUGGGGACAAUGUAGCUUUGAAUACAAAAAGUCUAG